rnacentral:rRNA from 1 species
UCUACGGGAGGCAGCAGUGGGGAAUAUUGCACAAUGGGGGAAACCCUGAUGCAGCGACGCCGCGUGAGUGAAGAAGUAAUUCGUUAUGUAAAGCUCUAUCAGCAGGGAAGAAAAUGACGGUACCUGAGUAAGAAGCCCCGGCUAACUACGUGCCAGCAGCCGCGGUAAUACGUAGGGGGCAAGCGUUAUCCGGAUUUACUGGGUGUAAAGGGAGCGUAGGCGGUUUAGCAAGUCAGAAGUGAAAGCCCGGGGCUCAACUCCGGGACUGCUUUUGAAACUGUUGAACUAGAUUGCAGGAGAGGUAAGUGGAAUUCCUAGUGUAGCGGUGAAAUGCGUAGAUAUUAGGAGGAACACCAGUGGCGAAGGCGGCUCACUGGACUGUAAAUGACGCUGAGGCUCGAAAGCGUGGGGAGCAAACAGGAUUAGAUACCCUGGUAGUC